AACGCACAUUGCACCUUUCGGUAUUCCGGAGGGUAUACCUGUUUGAGCGUCAUUUCACUCUUAAAACAAUGUAUUUUGUUUUAGUCUUGAGUUUUUAUAUUUUUAAAAAUAUUAACUUGAAAUGAAUUUGGCAGAAGUGAAUUUUUCAAUUUCUCUAUUUGACAACGUAAUAGGUUUUACCAACUCGUUGACUUUUAAAGAAUAAAGAUUGAAUUAUUAACAGCUUCGGCGUUUAUAACCAAAACUUAUUUAAAAGUUUGACCUCAAAUCAAGUAAGAUUACCCGCUGAACUUAA
rnacentral:misc_RNA from 1 species